rnacentral:lncRNA from 1 species
GGCGUCUGCCAUCAAUGGACGCUGAGGAUUUUGAGACCAUUCCAUCAAGUGCAGAAGAACUCUCCAUUUCCUCAGAUGGAGAGGAUGAAGGACAAAACAAAAACGGGGAUAAUGAUCGCUAUCAAGUGCAGCUGACGUACGAGUCAGGUACCGCCCAGGAUCUUUCCGUCGAGGCGGGAGAUUUAGUACAGUUCCUAGAAGAGUCGGAGAAUGGCCACUGAUAUUUUCAGUGACCUCUGCACCGCUGCCCUCACCGAUACAGAGGAGGCAGACGACAGCACCGGGCCGCGUCCCGCUCAGGACGGCAGAUUUGCAUGCUGAACGUGCCGUGAUGUCUUCUCGAUUUCCAUAUCAUCAUGCGUUACAGCAUACUCGACAACAGCUCGAUAUUCUAUUCUUUGUAAUACUACACAGACAUCUGCUCUGCUGAAGGAGUAAGUGAACUGACCGAUCAGAAUGGAUUCCAGUCAUUUCUGGCCUUCUCCAGCGCUGAUGUGACAUUAACAACAUUCUGUAUAGUUGUGAGUCAGAAAUUCAGCAUGCAGCCUUCGUUCUUUCACUCUGCUGUGCCUUAGCAGCAAUUGCAGGGGUAUUUGAAAAGAAGUAUCUGGAUCUCUGUGAACACCGGACUCCGAUAUCUGCACCAAGGAUGCUAUUUGAAAACACUGAGAGGAAGAGACUCUAGACCAUUCUGUCCUGCUGAAACUUUCACUGAAAUGCUUUUAAAGGGAUAGUUCAAAAAUGAAAAUGUUAUCAUUUACUCGCCCUCAAGUUGUUCCAAACCUGUAUGAAUUUCGUUCUUCUGUCGAACACACAAAAAAAGAUAUUUGGACCAUUGCUGGUAGGCAUUUUCCCCCUCGUACUAUGAAAGUCAAUGGCUACCAGAAGCUGUUUUCCCUUUAUUUUGGGUGAACUAUCCCUUUAAAUAUACUUGAUUUUUUAAUUUUUUUUAUUGCUUGUUUGCUUAUGAGACUGUUGGUCAGAUCACAGCACUUUUUAAGAUUUAAUAUUGUCUAAUGUAAUGUACAAUAUUUAUACUCUCUUUUCUAUUCAGAC